GAUGAACGCUGGCGGCGUGCCUAAUACAUGCAAGUCGAGCGAACAGACGAGGAGCUUGCUCCUCUGACGUUAGCGGCGGACGGGUGAGUAACACGUGGAUAACCUACCUAUAAGACUGGGAUAACUUCGGGAAACCGGAGCUAAUACCGGAUAAUAUAUUGAACCGCAUGGUUCAAUAGUGAAAGACGGUUUUGCUGUCACUUAUAGAUGGAUCCGCGCCGCAUUAGCUAGUUGGUAAGGUAACGGCUUACCAAGGCAACGAUGCGUAGCCGACCUGAGAGGGUGAUCGGCCACACUGGAACUGAGACACGGUCCAGACGCCUACGGGAGGCAGCAGUAGGGAAUCUUCCGCAAUGGGCGAAAGCCUGACGGAGCAACGCCGCGUGAGUGAGGAAGGUCUUCGGAUCGUAAAACUCUGUUAUUAGGGAAGAACAAAUGUGUAAGUAACUAUGCACGUCUUGACGGUACCUAAUCAGAAAGCCACGGCUAACUACGUG
rnacentral:rRNA from 1 species